rnacentral:rRNA from 1 species
GUGCCAGCCGCCGCGGUAAAACGUAGGUGGCAAGCGUUAUCCGGAUUUACUGGGCGUAAAGCAUGUGCAGACGGGUUGGUAAGUGGUGUAUGAAAGCGUCCGGCUUAACCGGGCAAGCGUAGGCCAGACUGCCAGUCUUGAGAGUGGGAGAGGGAUGUGGAAUUCCGGGUGUAGUGGUGAAAUGCGUAGAGAUCCGGAGGAACCCCAGAGGCGAAGGCGGCGUCCUGGCCCAUUUCUGACGUUCAGACAUGACAGCAUGGGGAGCGAACGGGAUUAGAAACCCCCGUAGUCC